rnacentral:rRNA from 1 species
AAAAAUAUUUAGCAAUACAGACCCAUCUGCCUCCUGCGAUGUCCCUACAAACUACUCACCAAAGUUUUGGAUAAUAGAGUGGUUGUUUUCUUGGAUAAGCUCAUUAGCAAGCAUCAAAAUGCAUUUAUUAAGCCUAGAAACAUCAUGGAUGGCAUCCUCACCUUACAUGAGGUUCUUCACCACACCCAUCGCAAGGAAAAAGUUGGAGUGGUGCUUAAGCUAGAUUUUGAAAAAGCUUAUGAUAAAAUCAAUUCGGAUUUCCUUCUUGAAUGCCACAAAAACAGGGGAUUCUGUUCUAAGUGGUGUGGUUGGGCUCAAAAGGUCCUAAAUAAUGGGACAGUUAGCAUCAAACCUAAUAAUGAAACUGGUCCCUAUUUUCAAAGCCACAAAGGGGCCCGUCAAAGCGACCCACACUCUCCUUUCCUUUUUAACUUGGCAGUAGAAGCUCUAUCUAAAAUGGUCCUUAAUUCACAAAAAGAAGGAUUGCUAACUGGCCUUGCCCAGAUCUGA